GAUGAAGAACGUAGUGAAAUGCAAUACGUAAUGUGAAUUGCAAAUUCAGUGAAUCAUCGAGUCUUUGAACGCACAUUGCGCCCCCUGGUAUUCCGGGGGGCAUGCCUGUCCGAGCGUCAUUGCUGCCCUCAAGCACGGCUUGUGUGUUGGGCCCCGUCCUCCGAUCCCGGGGGACGGGCCCGAAAGGCAGCGGCGGCACCGCGUCCGGUCCUCGAGCGUAUGGGGCUUUGUCACCCGCUCUGUAGGCCCGGCCGGCGCUUGCCGAUCAACCCAAAUUUUUAUCCAGGUUGACCUCGGAUCAGGUAGGGAUACCCGCUGAACUUAAGCAUAUCAAUAAGCGGAGGA
rnacentral:misc_RNA from 1 species